UCUUUUUUUUUUUUUUUAAUUUUUCUUCUCCCCCUUUGGACUUUAUUUGUUCUGGAUUGGGGAAAGUUGCAGAAUUGAGCCCAAAGUUUACAGUUUCAUAUUUUGCUGAGAAAACAAUCUGUGUUCAUUUGCUCUGCUGAAAAGAAAAAUAAGAGAGUUAUUUUCUACAUUUGUGCUGACUGUUCUGUGUUUAACGGUGUAGUAUUAUAAUUAGCAACUGCCAAUCAGUGCUAUGAUUUUAUGCAUGAGACUAAAAACUUAGCCGUGUGAUGCAUUGUGGUCUUGAUAGCAACGUUUUCCUUUUCGUACUAGAUCCUCCCCUUUGGUUCAACAGACAUUGUUUAUGCAUGGGUGCCUAUUCUUUGUUAGCCGUCGUGAACAGUUGUGUAUACAUUAAACUGUGAAAAAAUAACGUACACAGUUCGGCCUCAGACAGUGAUCAUACCGGUUUUCUUGGGAAAUGUAUUACCUUGAGAAAUGCCUUCACACCUGUUGGGAUUUUGCUAUGAGUCAGAUCGAACCGGGCUUGAAUUGUAAUGAGAAAGUCAUCCAAGUUGGAGUUUAGACUACUGGAACCCCCACAAAUCGGGAGCCGCAUAACCCAGAUGUAUCACUAGAUAGAGCUGAGCAAACUAGAAAGGAGCUGGAGAGAGCAGCUCACCUCUAAAUUUUUAUCCCACUAAAGGGAAUCUUAGCAUUAUGUUCAUGAUCUCAGACCUCUUGGGCCAUGUAUACGACAAGGCUAGUUCAUCUAGGCCUCACUUUUCUGGAUUUUUCCCCUUGGGGAUUGAACUCUGUUGUCAGUUCCCAGUUAAAGAGCAUCUGUAUCAGUGAUCCAUGCCUGGCCUUUUUGUACACUCUCACAGAGAAGCCCACCAGUUAUUUGGACAAGAAUAUGUGGUCAUUCCCUAAACUUUCACUCACGUGGUCUAUCAGACUUUUCCUCCUUCGGUCACAAAUGACUCUAGAUUGCUCCUUACAAAGCUGUCUAUAUUCUAAAGGGGACUAUAAAGUUUUUGUUUUUAUGGUUUUUUAGGGUUUGUGUUUUUGAGAACCAAUUUAUGAAACCCAUCUUGUUUGAAUUCCCCAGUCUUUGAGGUCUCUCUGUCUCCAGAAGUAGUUUUCAGGCCCAGGGGCAAACAUAUUUUUAUGUUUGGGUUCUGAGAUCUGCUUUUGACCCAGGGGACUGGGCAAACAUAUUUUUAUGUUUGGGUUCUGAGAUCCGCUUUUGAGUUUCAUACCUACUUCCUACACCAGUAUGCUCCCCGCACAACUAAAUCAGCUGCCAGGUUCUGCAGUCCUGCAGAAGAGAACGGAGAUGAGGACUAACAGCGGAGCACCAGUCUGCCAUGCAGAGUUCUGGAAAUCACCACCAGACAGCAGAGCGUCGCACGCGUGUCUGUCAGUGAGGACGUCGGAGAUGUUCUUUCACUGAUGGCGCCAAGGAACGAACGGCCUUAUGAGUAGGUUGUGAUAAUGACAGCAUUGUAAUGUAGUCUUUUGGGUUUUUUUUUAUUCUUCCUUUUAUUAAUCUGCCAAAGAUGGGAAUGGAUACGAGAACUUUAAAAUCAGCUUCUGUAAGCCAGUCUUUGAUUGUAAUGGUGUUUAAUCUCCCGGAAUGCUUUACAUAAGUCUUCUGCAGUAAAUCAAGUCCCUAUUUGUUUGCAGAAGUUCUCCUCCUACUCACAAGCCUGCAAACAAACAAUUCCUCUUGAUGCAGAUGUUAUAAUACCUACAAUGUUCCAGCGUUAUUUUUGAUCCAAAGGGGUGUGUGAGACAGGAGCAUGCCUGGCCCUUUUUACAACAAGCAACCCUGGGGUCUGGCUCACUAGAAUUUGCCAAGAAGACUUGUCUUAUGAAAUUCCAGGUAUAUUUUGUUAUGCUGUUUUAUUUCCUUUUUUUAAAAAAACUGUGGAAAGUGAUACGUUGAAUCAAGUGUAAGCUGAGUUUUCCAGACAACUGAAGUAGCUUCAUUGUGAAUGUUAUUUUGUUAUUAAAGGGUUUUUACUCAA
rnacentral:lncRNA from 1 species